GUGCUUACUCUGGCAGCACAUAUACUAAAUUGAAAUGAUACAGAGAAGAUUAGCAUGGCCCCUGCACAAGGAUGACACAGAGAUUCGUAUUUUUAAGCCUCAUUAA
rnacentral:snRNA from 1 species